GGACCCCCGUUGUUAUGCGGCCGACUUCCGGUGCCUGUGUCCCUUCAAUCGUUGGCUUAUUGUGUGGCUAUCGUUUUGACGAGUGCUUGCGUGCUGCUACCAGUAACACUGGAAGUUGCAUUGCUAAAAGUUGGUUUUGCCGUGCAUGCCCGUAGGGAAUGUCACGACAAUUAUAAAGCGUUCAUGGCGUUGCCUCGUAUUGCUGGCCGGAUAGGCUAGCGACACCAAGGCCACUUCACGGUCGCUACUGGUCCCGGAUGUUGCUAACUUUGAAGGCUGAAGUUGCUUUGGCACCUCACGCCUAUGAAAUUGUCUCGGAAACAACGACAGUUGGCCUGGCCGAUGCCUUGCGCGGAAGCUAGUGCU
rnacentral:misc_RNA from 1 species